rnacentral:rRNA from 1 species
GGACCAAGGAGUCUAGCAUGUGCGCGAGUCAUUGGGACUCUAACGAAACCUAAAGGCGUAAUGAAAGUAAAGGCCCGCCUAGCGCGGGCCGAGGGAGGAUGGGUGUCCCCGAGGGGACGCCUCGCACUCCCAGGGCGUCUCGUUCUCAUUGCGAGAAGAGGCGCACCAAGAGCGUACACGCUGGGACCCGAAAGAUGGUGAACUAUGCCUGGUCAGGACGAAGUCAGGGGAAACCCUGAUGGAGGUCCGUAGCGAUUCUGACGUGCAAAUCGAUCGUCGGAACUGGGUAUAGGGGCGAAAGACUAAUCGAACCAUCUAGUACUGGUUCCCUCCGAAGUUUCCCUCAGGAUAGCUGGCGCUCGCUUCUCGCGAGUCUCAUUCGGUAAAGCGAAUGAUUAGAGGCAUUGGGGUCGAAACGGCCUCAACCUAUUCUCAAACUUUAAAUGGGUGAGAUCUCCGGCUUGCUUGAACUGUGAAGCCGCGAGAUAUCGGAUCAGAGUGCCAAGUGGGCCACUUUUGGUAAGCAGAACUGGCGCUGUGGGAUGAACCAAACGCUGAGUUAAAGCGCCUAAAUCGACGCUUAUGGGAUACCAUGAAAGGCGUUGGUAACUUAAGACAGCAGGACGGUGGCCAUGGAAGUCGGA